UACGAAGGGGGCUAGCGUUGCUCGGAAUCACUGGGCGUAAAGCGCACGUAGGCGGAUUGCUAAGUCAGGGGUGAAAUCCUGGAGCUCAACUCCAGAACUGCCUUUGAUACUGGAGAGCUUGAGUCCGGGAGAGGUGAGUGGAACUCCGAGUGUAGAGGUGAAAUUCGUAGAUAUUCGGAAGAACACCAGUGGCGAAGGCGACUCACUGGACAUGUAUUGACGCUGAGGUACGAAAGCGUGGGGAGCAAACAGG
rnacentral:rRNA from 1 species